rnacentral:rRNA from 1 species
UUUGAUCCUGGGCUCAGAACGAACGCUGGCGGCAUGCCUAACACAUGCAAGUCGAACGAGACCUUCGGGUCUAGUGGCGGACGGGUGAGUAACGCGUGGGAAUCUGCCUUUAGAUGGGGGAUAACGGGUCGAAAGACUCGCUAAUGCCGCAUAUGACGAAAGUUGAAAGGAGUAAUCCGUCUAAAGAUGAGCCCGCGUCCGAUUAGCUAGUUGGUAGAGUAAAAGCCUACCAAGGCGACGAUCGGUAGCUGGUCUGAGAGGAUGAUCAGCCACAAUGGGACUGAGACACGGCCCAUACUCCUACGGGAGGCAGCAGUGGGGAAUUUUACGCAAUGGGCGAAAGCCUGACGUAGCGACACCGCGUGAGCGAAGAAGCCCCUUGGGGUGUAAAGCUCUGUCAGCUGGAACGAAAAAAAUGACGGUACCAGCAGAGGAAGCAUCGGCUAACUACGUG